rnacentral:rRNA from 1 species
GUAGGUGGCAAGCGUUGUCCGGAAUUAUUGGGCGUAAAGCGCGCGCAGGCGGUCCUUUAAGUCUGAUGUGAAAGCCCACGGCUCAACCGUGGAGGGUCAUUGGAAACUGGGGGACUUGAGUACAGAAGGGGAAAGCGGAAUUCCAAGUGUAGCGGUGAAAUGCGUAGAGAUUUGGAGGAACACCAGUGGCGAAGGCGGCUUUCUGGUCUGUAACUGACGCUGAGGCGCGAAAGCGUGGGGAGCAAACAGGAUUAGAUACCCUGGUAGUCCACGCCGUAAACGAUGAGUGCUAAGUGUUAGGGGGUUUCCCGCCCCCUUAGUGCUGCAGCUAACGCAUUAAGCACUCCGCCUGGGGAGUACGGCCGCAAGGCUG